UACGUAGGGUGCGAGCGUUAAUCGGAAUUAUUGGGCGUAAAGAGCUCGUAGGCGGUUUGUCGCGUCUGCUGUGAAAACGCGAGGCUCAACCUCGCGCCUGCAGUGGGUACGGGCAGACUAGAGUGCGGUAGGGGAGAUUGGAAUUCCUGGUGUAGCGGUGGAAUGCGCAGAUAUCAGGAGGAACACCGAUGACGAAGGCAGAUCUCUGGGCCGUAACUGACGCUGAGGAGCGAAAGCGUGGGGAGCGAACAGG
rnacentral:rRNA from 1 species